UACGAAGGGGGCUAGCGUUGCUCGGAAUCACUGGGCGUAAAGCGCACGUAGGCGGCUUUCUAAGUCAGGGGUGAAAUCCUGGAGCUCAACUCCAGAACUGCCUUUGAUACUGGGGAGCUCGAGUCCGGGAGAGGUGAGUGGAACUCCGGGUGUAGAGGUGAAAUUCGUAGAUAUUCGGAAGAACACCAGUGGCGAAGGCGGCUCACUGGUCCGGUACUGACGCUGAGGUGCGAAAGCGUGGGGAGCAAACAGG
rnacentral:rRNA from 1 species